GUUGACUGUGACAUAAUAAAAGCUCAGCUGCUUUCGAGCCGUGUGUCACGCUCGUUCAGAGGCCUCGUUUAGCUUCAACGGCUUUCAGCCUCACCCUGUUUCAUUCCACUACAUUAAUAAAUCAUUAGCUCAUCCAUGAACAUGAUUUCUGCCCGAGUCGUGUCGGAUUGCAUCGUCUGUGGGGAUGAAGACCACAUCUCCCGUGAUUCCACACUCAGUCACAGCAUCAUCAAACUACGCUACCUGGUCUUUGUUUAUUUUGAAUAUGCGCCCUCUAGAUUUAACCUCCUGGCCCCUCUAAGGAACCUGGUGACGAGGUCAUCAAUUGCAUUGCUACUGCCCGCUCCACUGACGGGAUUCCUGAAUACCCCUUCGCUGCACCGCCAUCGAGGGUGGUGAGGGAGGAGGAGCCCACCGGCCGGUUUCUGGCAGUAAAAGGUGCCGUCCAUGACUUGGUGAGCUCAUCAUGCACUUCUGGGAAGAAAGGCACUGGGGCGGGGUGCUGAGAACCAGCGCGCGCCACCCCGAGAUACCAAUCAUCCAGCCUCAAUGGCUCGGGACAUGGAGGAUUCCACCCGAGCCCUACCAUGUCGGCGGCCUGGGAAAGCAUAGCUGCCAUUUCGGGAUCCGACUCAGGCUUUGCCACCGUCCCUGAGGGCGGCAGCGUAGCCGAAUCUUCAUCCGAUAGCUCUCCCUCCAAUGCUGAGAUCGACAUCUGGUCGGGGGGAGGCCCACUGGAUACCGCUGGUACGCUCCUUGAAGAGGGCCCAGCGCGUUCCGUGGGUUGCUCCACUGGAUCAGAGGUGCCAGAGGUUCCCUGCGGGGUUUGCCACCACUGUAACCCUCAAACCGCCCGUGCUACUGCCGGAAGUGGUGCUCGUCUGUCGGCCCCCAGAACGAGUCCCAGAUCGCAGCAGCGGCAGCGGGACUCCGCCCCACUGAAGGUAGCGAUCGUGACCAUCACCCGGUGCCAGGUAACGACUGCAUCCAGAAACGCACGGGUGAAACGGCAUCCUUAUAAGGACGAUCCGUCAUCUUUAUAAAGACGCACCCGUGGUGCUCUUUUAGAGGAAAUUCGCUCUCAGGAUAUGCUCUUUUGGUGCUGAGGCGCACAGGGGAGCUGGCCGCUUGCAACACGACAAGGGGUAGUGCAGCCUGAAGUGUGCAAUCCACUCGACGCUGGAACGACCGCCACUGAAACCCCG
ensembl:lncRNA